rnacentral:rRNA from 1 species
AUGCAGGUGCAGCACCGCCGUCGCCUUGGAGAGACCCUGUCGGAGCUCGCCAUCUCGAUCGAAACCGGCGAGGAACGCCACCGCCAUGAACUUGGAGUUCAAGCCCCGCCGCUGGACCUCCUCCCGCGCCUCCUAGAUCGCCUCCACGCCGUACUUGCAACAGGAUCCGGCCGCCGCCGCGCCUCCUCGGCCGGAUCUGGCCGGAGAUCGCCGUCGCCGUGCCCGGCGUCGUCUGCAUCGCGGCCAGUCUCGACCUCCAGCUCGCUUCGCUCGCCAAUAACCACUUUGUUGAAUAUAAAAACACAGUGUCCUUUUUGUAAGAACGAAACGUUUUCUCACAAUAGCACUUCAGAUUGUACUGCGGGUUGA